UUUUGUAUUUUUUUUUUCAUCGCGACCUGUCAAAAUUUCGUAGUUUUGAGAAUCAAUAUUUUGAAUUUGAAUGGUAAGUUUUAAAAUAUUAUUGGAAUUGUGAUUGUUUCUAGUAAUUAUUAUUUACAGCACACCCGAACAAAGCAGCCACAAGAGCAGCAUUUUUCGUCACCAGCCAUCUAUCUACUUGAUAAGUUUUCAACAACAACAACCAGGUGCUACAAAUCAGCUCAACUUGACUCAACAUCCUGGAUCUGGCAAUCAGCCAACCAACAUUAAAUCGAUACAACCGUAGCAGUACCAACAACUCCAAAUCCAGCAGCUGCCAACAAUCUCUCAAAAAAGAACCACAGCAAUUACAGCUCAGAACCAACAAAGCAACAAGAGCUUUUUUACGAAUAAUGGACCCAUCGGAAACACUUUAUCGGCACAUUCUGUCGUAAAACUUGCCUGCCACUAUUCUUACCAGCGGUUACCUUCCUGAUGUAGAGAAAUCAGAGUCAAACACAAACGUCAUAUUACUGCCUUGGCUCCUACCAGUUGCUUGCAUGAAAAUAUCGCUGCCUCCACAGUGCUCGUGAUUUCAUCCCAGCAGCAGCUAGCAACCACAAUUCCAGUGCUUAUCGCCAGCAACAUCAGAAAAUUAAGAUUUCCCCCAGACCAUGACCAUCAUCCGACAGAUCGGUAGCAACGUUCAACUGACGGUACAACCUGGCCAGCAACCGCAAGUAGUGCAAUCGAUCCAAGCCAAUCAGGGCCAAAUGUAGAAGACCAUUGGUCAACUGCAAUAAAAAGAUACAUCAACAGCACCUUCAAACACAGUAGCAGCAGCAUACUGUACUGUACCACGCCGCGUGCAGGACUUUUUUUAUUCAGUUGGUGCAGCAAGAUCGAACAGCAACCAUAGCGGAUACACAUCACCGAACACCAGCAACAUAAUGCCAUGGUAACCACCCAGCAGCAGAACACGGCGAUAAUGGGCCAACAGUAAAUACAACAUCAAGAUCCUCGGAAAGGACUCCCUUUUACGAACAAACAUAAUGGAAGCAUACUCUACACGCGCGACAUAUUCAAUCGGGCCAACCGUGUGACUCGUUUGGCAAAAAGGGCUCAUCAUCGGUUUCAUGGCAGCGAAGUGAGCAGACAAAAGAAGGCGUUUUUCCCGAAUGGUCGCUCUGGGCAAAAGUUCAGCUAAUUGCAAGGAACAAACCACCGGAGUGACAGUAUCCGUGCUGAUUCAGGACCUUUUGACAUUAAAAAUGUCUUACUCCACUAUCUGGGGCUAGGUGUCAUUCUAAAAUCUAAACUAUCUCCCAUGUAACGAAACUAUGUAAGGUUUGCACGCUUAUAACUCCGAUAUUACUAGAUGGAUUUUAAUCAUUCAUACACCAACCGAUUCAGA